rnacentral:rRNA from 1 species
CUGCGGAAGGAUCAUUGAAUCGAUCGAAUCCACACCGGUAACCAAACGUCGCCCCCCUGUGGUGCAUUCUCCGGAUCUCCGGCGUUUCACCCUGGGCGUCGGCCCCUGGGCUGGGGCUCUCACGAGCCGCUUUUCAGGUCCGACGGGCGCCUCCCUUGGGCUCACCCCCUGGGGCUGGCGUCGGCCAAAACCCCUGUAUCCAACCUUUUUUUAACACACCCCAAACCACAACCAACUCUGAAGCAUCUUUGGUGGCCCGGCCUCGUGCCGUCCACUCCAAACCAAAGACAACUCUCAACAACGGAUAUCUUGGCUCCCGUAUCGAUGAAGAACGCAGCGAAAUGCGAUACGUAGUGUGAAUUGCAGAAUUCCGUGAACCAUCGAAUCUUUGAACGCAAAUUGCGCCCGAGGCUUCGGCCGAGGGCAUGUCUGCCUCAGCGUCGGUUUACACCCUCGCCCUCCCCCACCCUGUGUGGUGGGGUGUUGGUGCGGAUCUGGCCCUCCCGGCUCCGCUCUGUUGAGCGCCCCGGGUUGGCUGAAGCCCAGAGGCUUGAGCAUGGACCCCGUUUGUAGGGCAAUGGCUUGGUAGGUAGGCACCCCCUACGCAGCCUGCCGUUGCCCGAGGGGACUUUGCUGGAGGCCCAGCAGGAAUCCAGCUGUUCGGCAGCCGGACUACUCACUCAUUCGACCUGAGCUCAGGCAAGACUACCCGUUUAAAAAUUAAAAA